GGUGGUAGCCAAAAACAAGCUUUUGCUUUUUGAUAUCAGCACCUGUGGUUUGUUAACUCAAGUCAUUGUCAGCCAUCACAGCACAAUCCAAUACUGUGACUUCUGUCCUGGGGAUGAGUUAGUAGCAGUUGCUUUGUCUCACUGCUCUGUUGAGUUUUUCUUUCAUAUUUUUAUUGUAGCUAUGGAAUAUUAAGUCUUUAUCAAAAGUGGCAUAUUGCAGAGGACACAUGAGCUGGGUUCACUGUGUGACAUUUUCACCAGACGGAUCUUUAUUUCUGACUUCAUCUGAUGACCAGACAAUACGCGUAAGAUAACUUUAGUUUUUUGAAAUAUCUGAAUUUAGAUAGGUAUUGUUAAGUAACUCAUUUAAGAAAUUGUUUAUUGUAAAAC
rnacentral:lncRNA from 1 species